rnacentral:rRNA from 1 species
UACGAAGGGGGCUAGCGUUGCUCGGAAUUACUGGGCGUAAAGCGCACGUAGGCGGCUUUCUAAGUCAGAGGUGAAAUCCUGGAGCUCAACUCCAGAACUGCCUUUGAUACUGUGAGUCUUGAGUUCGGGAGAGGUGAGUGGAACUGCGAGUGUAGAGGUGAAAUUCGUAGAUAUUCGCAAGAACACCAGUGGCGAAGGCGGCUCACUGGCCCGAUACUGACGCUGAGGCACGAAAGCGUGGGGAGCAAACAGG